rnacentral:rRNA from 1 species
GAUGAACGCUGGCGGCGUGCCUAAUACAUGCAAGUCGAGCGAACGGACGAGAAGCUUGCUUCUCUGAUGUUAGCGGCGGACGGGUGAGUAACACGUGGAUAACCUACCUAUAAGACUGGGAUAACUUCGGGAAACCGUAGCUAAUACCGGAUAAUAUUUUGAACCGCAUGGUUCAAAAGUGAAAGACGGUCUUGCCGUCACUUAUAGAUGGAUCCGCGCUGCAUUAGCUAGUUGGUAAGGUAACGGCUUACCAAGGCAACGAUGCAUAGCCGACCUGAGAGGGUGAUCGGCCACACUGGAACUGAGACACGGUCCAGACUCCUACGGGAGGCAGCAGUAGGGAAUCUUCCGCAAUGGGCGAAAGCCUGACGGAGCAACGCCGCGUGAGUGAUGAAGGUCUUCGGAUCGUAAAACUCUGUUAUUAGGGAAGAACAUAUGUGUAAGUAACUGUGCACAUCUUGACGGUACCUAAUCAGAAAGCCACGGCUAAUUACGUG